ACGCGAAGAACCUUACCUGGGCUAGAAUGCCUCUGACAGCCUGAGAGAUCAGGUCUCCUGGGUAAAACCAGGCAGGAUGCAGGGUGCUGCACGGCUGUCGUCAGCUCGUGUCGUGAGAUGUUGGGUUAAGUCCCGCAACGAGCGCAACCCUUGUCAGUAGUUGCCAGCGGUUCGGCCGGGCACUCUACUGAGACUGCCGUUGACAAAACGGAGGAAGGUGGGGAUGACGUCAAGUCCUCAUGGCCUUUAUGUCCAGGGCUACACACGUGCUACAACGGCAGGUACAAAGGGUUGCCAACCCGCGAGGGGGAGCCAAUCCCAGAAAGCUGGUCGUAGUCCGGAUCGCAGUCUGCAACUCGGCUGCGUGAAGUCGGAAUCGCUAGUAAUCGUGAAUCAGCGAUGUCACGGUGAAUACGUUCCCGGGCCUUGUACACACCG
rnacentral:rRNA from 1 species